GAGUUUCAAUGAUGUAAAAUAAAUCUUACCUACAUUAUCUGAUCAUACCAAUUAUGAUAGAAGAUAAUAACUCUGAGAAACUC